UGAGAGUGUAGCUCAGAGGUAGAGCAUGUGCUUAGCAAGCCCAAGGCCCUGGGUUCAAUCCCCAGCACCUGAA
rnacentral:tRNA from 1 species